rnacentral:lncRNA from 1 species
AUGCAUUACAGGACAUCUUUAUGUGUCCCUGACACCCAGCCCAGUCCCACCAGCCAGGGCUGGGAGCCGGGGGCCCAUCAGGCGAUGGAGCUGGUGCCCGUCUCCCGCUCGCUGCCUGGGUGGUGCCGGCAGCCGGAGCCCCAGCCGCAGCCUUCCUCGCGUCGGGUGCUGCGAUGUGCUAGCCUCGUCUUUCAGACAGUAUUUUUAUGUGAGCUGAUGGUUGCCAGGGUAACAGAGGCUUCGGGGAGUCUCGCGCCGACGCAGCGCCCCGGCCUCGGCGGGCGCUGGGAGCAGAUGCUGGCUGCGCGGGGAGCCAGGCGGGCGGCGAGGAGCGGCGCUGCCAGCGGGCACGCAGGCAGGGGCUGCCCGGAGCCAGCUGCCCGGCCGCGGGUUCCUCAGCCGUCGGCUUAAAGGCUCCAUCAAAAGGACAAAGAGCCAACCGAAGCUCGAUAGGAACAGCAGCUUCCGGCACAUUUUACCUGGCUUCAGGAGCGUGGACAAUGAAAGGUAAGGGGACGUUCCUGCGGGGUGGGGAGGAGAGGGUGUGGGAGAGAGAGAACCAGGAUAUUGAUGUGUCCAGGGCUUGUUAAUAUCUUGCUUAUCUCAUUCAGAGCAAGGGCCACGUCCCUGACAGAAGCGGACUUGCUGAAUUGUGAUGGGGUAAUUUUAAUCUGUUGGCGAGUGCCCAGUGCAAGCCCUCCCUUCUGGGGUUAAAUAGCGCGUACCGAGAAGCCUGUGUGAUCUGCUGUCUUUCCCCCAGUAAAUCCUAAGUUGAUGCACCGGCAUAUAAAUAGCACGGAGAUGUAGCAGCCAAAGCCGACCGAUGCGGGUGAAGGCGGGAGGAGAGGGACGCUCCCACAGCGGGUGCAUUGAGCAUUGCCGGGCUGCACGCUGUACGAACAAUAACAACCGGAAUCUGCCCAGCUCCCUGUCUCCCUUCCACACACACGUCUCCAGCGUAGCCCCUGCCCGCCAGCAUUACGCUGCGAUGGAUGCCCGGCAUGUGGCCGGAGCUGCCUUUCUGUCUGAGCCCCGGCAGGAUCUUUCAGUCCAGAAGGGAUGUGUUGCAGGGAAUAUGCAGAUGGAUCGGAGGAAGCUUUUGACAUGGGAUGGCCAGUACUGGAGUGAAUUGACAGCAAAAUACAGGGGAAAUGAGACCUUGUUUUUGCCAUUCGGCUCAGCUAGAAAGUAAAGCUCUUUAGUGGAUUUCUGUGUAUUUAUGUGUAUGUACAUUUAUGUCAGGGUGUGCAUGAGGCAGACACACGUUUCUAGGUAAAUUUGUGUGUAAAUUCACAUGCAGAUCAAGGUCAGGGCUGGGUAUGACAGGCUCCAUUACCAGUCACAGAAACAAACUAGUGGUUUGCCUCCAAAAGGAAGAUCUUUAAACCUUACGUGAAUCUCUUCAGAGAAUGACUCAGAAGUAUUGGGGUGCCAAAAUAAGUCUUUGUCUGAAAAACAUGCCAAAUAGGAAGUGCAGUGGUGUUAUCAUUUUGUAGCAGUGGUAUUGUAAAAUAUCAGGACAGCACGUUACAAUCCACUGAGUGCAUGCUUCACUUCUAGACAAUGGCAACUUCUUUUUAGCUAUGUUCACUCACUGGAGGGGCAGGGAAUUUAUGAAGCCCGCAUCUGGAUUUUUCCUGAGAUGACCUAAGCUUAUUCCUUCUGGAUUUAGAAAGUAAAAGGAUUGUGCUGGUCAGCGUAGAGUAAUAUUCCAGGGGUUACUAUCUGAGCAGGCAGAGUCGGUGUGGUUUCUGUGCUGCAGUUUUCACAGAUGCUCAAAGUAGGGCACUGUGCUCCGUGUAGAAGGCGAGUGAGGGAGCCGGGUGGCCAGGAAUCUGCCCAGAGUGCUGCUGCUUCACCCCAAAAUGGGCAAGCUGGAUGAUGUUUCUCUCUAUGUAGAUGAGUUUUGUUUCUUUCUGUGAAUUGUCACUAUAGGACAUGGGAAUGAGCUGCUUGGCCAGCCCUGGAGCCAAAGUCAUUUUCCCAAAUGAAGCCUUGUAAUUUCCCUGCCCUCCCAGCUCAAGAACCCUGGCUCUUGCUGGGCAGUGCCCUUUCAGACAGAGCCCCAUUUACCAGAGCUUUUCUUUAAGGAGAUUCAGUGAAUGGCUGUAGUGCAUGUUCGGUGUGGAGUACACAAGGUGGGUUGGAGGAGAGGUAGCAUUUGGCAGCCUUGAAUAAACCCCAAGGAUUUGCUCA